rnacentral:snRNA from 1 species
UAGCUGCAAGUGAGAACACUCGAG